GGCGAAUAAUCGUACUACCUGAUUCUGGCCCAUGUGGAUAUAUUCGUAUAUUGCAACGGAUGUGGGUUGGGCUCCCCCGGGGGGCAGUACGAGUCAAUAAGAGUCAAUAAAGAAGAAAACGAUGUGCUAGGGCGUGGCCAUUGCAAUGAGCGUGUACCGUACAAGCUAGCUAGCUAGCUAUGAACACCCGCUCUCAUAGUGCAAACCGACGUGCAGCUCUCUCUACAGAGCAGCUAGAGAGAAACAGACAACAGGACAGAGACCGAAGAGCCACAGCUAGGCCGGAUGAACAAAGGUCAGCUCAUAAAUUCUACUCAGUAUAGCACCGUGACUACACAUCACACUUCUCCAACAGGUACAAGUCAACAAGCUGAAACAACUAUCUGCUAAACUUGUACCAUCUACACUCUCGUCGCUUUCUUGCCAAUCAUAAAGCAAAUAGCCAAUGAUGACACAAUCACAAGUGCCAACAAAUAAUCACAACUAAAAUUCUUAUGGCCGAUCCAUUUCAAUUUUCAUACACUCUGAACAAAAUCAUUUAUUUAGUAAUGUUUCCCGUAACUAACAAUUCUUACAAGCUAUUCUCUUUAUUUUAUCCUUUUUCCACAUUAUUUGAUGUUCUUCAAAAAUGUCAUAUGAUUAUUCACCUUCUUCAUUACAAAUUAUACGUAUGCCCUAGUUAUGUAUAUGUAAGCUGCACAGCUAUACAGAUAAUUAUAAGUCUCUUGGUACAAGUCUUUUAUACUAUGGUUGAUAUAUGCGGUGCAGAUCCAGAUCCUAUGCAACAAGAGCUGGCCAGACUGAGGAAUGGGUGCUGGGUGUCUGACUAUGUAAGCUGCACAGCUAUACAGAUAAUUAUAAGUCUCUUGACAAUUACAAGUCUUUUAUACUAUGCUUGAUAUAUGCGGUGCAGAUCCAGAUCCUAUGCAACAAGAGCUGGCCAGACUGAGGAAUGGGUGCUGGGUGUCGGACUAUGGUAUUGGCACUUACUUCGACUUACUUGUUCAGGAAACAAAGAAUGCAGGCCACACUAGUACUACUGGAAAGUAGCUGAGUGCAAAGGUCAUAUGGAAUAUGGAUGCUUCCAAUGCUGAAAGAAAGGUCAUAGAUCCAGGAAAAAAGACAAUGCUGUACUACGAUUCUACAAUUCAUUUCAUCCUAACGAAUGUCUAUACUUUGAGACACAUACUUUGAGACACCAACCAUAAUGUACUUUAUUAUAGAGACUUUUUGGAUGCUGAAGCUGGUGACCAGGCGUUUGAAUGGGAAAAGUGGACAUUCCAAAUAGCAAAGGUCCGCCCAUACUAAAGAAGUGACAAUCCUAAUUUUAGUGGAACUGAAUGGAAUUUGAUUAGAGGGCUAGCAUCUGAGAAUGGAGAAUGGCCAAGGUGAUACAACUACAUGUACAGACGCAGGUUUAGACACAGACAAAAAUGGAACAAAUCUUUGCUGACAUCACUGUUUGUAUCAAAGAAAGCUCUGUUGUUGCACAAGGAAUGGAAACGUUCAUUAAGAGGUAUAAAGACAUGUCAAGUCGAGGAAAGUUUGCUAAUGCUGCCCUCGCAAGUUCCCUUCAUCGAUUUGGAUGGGUUUUUGGUGGGACAACUAAAGGGGGGAUUUCUUCGUCGUGGUCGUCGAAUUCCAGUAAGCAUCUGGAAGACGACGUGGCACCCUCUCCAGAGGUAAAGCGAAAGUCACACCGGGAAGACCUAUAAGCGCGCAUGCUAUCCUAGAACUAACACCAUGACCACCAGAAAGCCUGCUAAGGGAAAAAGGCUAAGCGCUGUAUUAGCUGUUGGAACUGGAAAGUGGUAGUGCACUAUCGCGAACUUUGAAAUAAUUAUGACUAAUGAGUAAUGUGUUAAACUGUAGUUUUGUGUUACAUGCAUCUUUAGGCUAUACGUGUGUGUAAAAAUGUUGUCUAUAAUUAAUUAUAAUACUUGAGAUCAAUCAGAUCACGUGCGUGGGAGGAGUCUGGGAGGAGUCUGGCCCCUCUGAGUUUAACAGCAGAGUUGGAAGUGGGCCCAAAAAAAAAUCGCGAGGGACGGUCGGGCUCCGCCCAACUAGUACCGUAGUAGCAAGGCGUAUGAAUUCAUAUGCCCUUGGUAGGUAGUAGAUGUAAGAUUAUGUCUAGCUAUAGCUAUGGCUCCAGUGCAGUGAUAGUAAGAUCAAGAAGUUAAGUAAGUGUGUGAGGGUGAGUAAAUGAGUAAAUGAGUAUACAAGAGCUUAGAGUAUUUAAAAAUACACAUAAAUUCAAUCAUCAGGUAGCAUAAAAGGGAGUUUCGUUUCAUUCUCCUUGGGUGUAGCUGAUACUACUAGUUUUUUCAUAUUUUCUGCAGACAAAGCUGGUUGCAUCGGUCACGAUUGAUCUUCAUUAAAGCAAGUGAACUCAAUCUCGAUUCCGACAUGGUAGCACGUCGGGCUGUCUUGAUAAGUUUUAGUUGGCUGAAACUGUCACAAGAUGUAAUAGGAAGUGUCAGUAAUAGGAAGUGUCAGAGCCAAUGUCAACAGAAGAUUCACAUUUGGAUAUGUCAUCACAUGGCACUCUCUCAAAGCAGCUCCUAACGUGUCUGGAACAUUUGUCGGUGGACUGUCUUUCCACUGCCGCACCCAUGAGUCGUAUUCAAUAUUGAACAUCACAGCAUGGGGCAGAUUACCUUUGAAAAUCUCAACUGCCUUUGCCAGAUCGUCAGGAACCAUGACAUCAUCACUGACCUUGAGACACUCGGUUGGUAGAAGAUGGAGAAGGCCGACGGUGAUACUUCGUGACAGACGGAUUGUUAACAAAUCUUUCCUCCAAUUCAGUUUGUACAUGAGACAGAAACUCAUUAUACAGUGUGAUCCUGUAGUAUUCUUCUGGAUCAGUUGAGGGUGGAUUGCUGCAAUGCAUCUGCCUCCCAGAUAGCCUUGAUGUCGUCAGCUGAAAUUGCUCACCAUGGAGCUGUUUCCCAAUUUUUGCUGCUUCAGUGAAUUGCUUUUUGAAUUCUAUUGCAGAUCUACUCCUGAUAGCUUCCAGCGUUGACCUGUUCAGCAGCUGACAUGACAUCAAUGGCUCUCGAUUGUAGCUUGAUUGUUGAUUCUCUAAGCAGUUGAAGUUGUUUUUAUUAUAAGUUUUGUUGUUUAUUUAUCAUAAUUUAUAUGAUUUGUAUGUGAAACCGUACCUGCUUUACUCAGAAUGUUGAAAUUGGCACUUGACUUGGUCUCUUCCUGUUACUCAUUGUUGUAUCCGACUAGAAAAACAUUUGCAAUGUG